AGCAGCCGCGGUAAUUCCAGCUCCAAUAGCGUAUAUUAAAGUUGUUGCAGUUAAAAAGCUCGUAGUUGAAUUUCGGGGUUAGUAGGUUGGUCAUGCCUCUGGUAUGUACUGGUCUCACUGAUUCCUCCUUCCUUAUGAACCGUAAUGCCAUUAAUUUGGUGUUGCGGGGAAUUUGGACUGUUACUUUGAAAAAAUUAGAGUGUUUAAAGCAAGCUAACGCUUGAAUACAUUAGCAUGGAAUAAUGAAAUAGGACGUUCGAUCUUAUUUUGUUGGUUUCUAGGAUUGACGUAAUGAUUAAUAGGGAUAGUUGGGGGCAUUAGUAUUCAAUUGUCAGAGGUGAAAUUCUUGGAUUUAUUGAAGACUAACUACUGCGAAAGCAUUUGCCAAGGAUGUUUUCAUUAAUCAAGAACGAAAGUUAGGGGAUCGAAGAUGAUCAGAUACCGUCGUAG
rnacentral:rRNA from 1 species